CCCUUAGAUGUUCUGGGCUGCACGCGCGCUACACUGAAGCUAUCAACACGUUUUCCCUCCCUGAGAAGGGCGGGUAACCUUUUGAAUCAGCUUCGUGGUAGGGAUCGGGGCUUGCAAUUGUUCCCCGUGAACCAGGAAUUCCUAGUAGACGCGAGUCAUAAGCUCGCAUCGAUUAAGUCCCUGCCCUUUGUACACACCGCCCGUCGCUACUACCGAUUGAACGUUUUAGUGAGGCAUUUGGACCGACGCAUCUUAGUUUAACCGCUGGUUUGUGUUGGAAAGACUUCCAAACUUGAGCGUUUAGAGGAAGUAAAAGUCGUAACA
rnacentral:rRNA from 1 species